rnacentral:rRNA from 1 species
AUGCGACCUUAGCUCAAGCAGGGCUACCCGCUGAGUUUAAGCAUAUUAAUAAGUAGAGGAAAAGAAACUAACAAGGAUUCC